rnacentral:rRNA from 1 species
CUGCGAAUGGCUCAUUAAAUCAGUUAUCGUUUAUUUGAUAGUACCUUACUACAUGGAUAACCGUGGUAAUUCUAGAGCUAAUACAUGCUAAAAAUCCCAACUUCGGAAGGGAUGUAUUUAUUAGAUAAAAAACCAAUGCCCUCCGGGGCUCCUUGGUGAUUCAUAAUAACUUCUCAGAUCGCAUGGCCUUGCGCCGGCGACGGUUCAUUCAAAUUUCUGCCCUAUCAACUUUCGAUGGUAAGGUAUUGGCUUACCAUGGUUUCAACGGGUAACGGGGAAUUAGGGUUCGAUUCCGGAGAGGGAGCCUGAGAAACGGCUACCACAUCCAAGGAAGGCAGCAGGCGCGCAAAUUACCCAAUCCCGAUACGGGGAGGUAGUGACAAUAAAUACUGAUACAGGGCUCUUUAGGGUCUUGUAAUUGGAAUGAGUACAAUUUAAACCUCUUAACGAGGAACAAUUGGAGGGCAAGUCUGGUGCCAGCAGCCGCGGUAAUUCCAGCUCCAAUAGCGUAUAUUAAAGUUGUUGCAGUUAAAAAGCUCGUAGUUGAACCUUUGGCCUGGCUGGCGGGUCCGCCUCACCGCGUGCACUCGUCCGGCCGGGCCUUUUCUUCUAGAGAACCGCAUGCCCUUCACUGGGUGUGUUGGGGACCGGACUUUUACUUUGAAAAA